UCCAGCUAAGGGUAAGCAUGGCAUCUGCAA
rnacentral:piRNA from 1 species